UUUUGGGGGUCUCAACCCCUUCAGAGCCGUAGCUAACGCGUUAAGUAUCCCCCCUGGGGAGUACGAUCGCAAGGUUGAAACUCAAAGGAAUUGACGGGUUCCCCCACAAGCGGUGGAGCAUGUGCUUUAAUUCGAGGCAACGCGAAGAACCUUACCUGGGCUUGACAUGGGAGCUCUCCCUUCGGGGGGGGUCAGCUAUGUGAAAGCAUGGUUAGUCCACACAGGUGUUGCAUGGCUGUCCUCAGCUCGUGUCGUGAGAUGUUCGGUUAAGUCCGGCAACGAGCGCAACCCUCGCUGUCAGUUACCAACGGAUAAUGCCGGGGACUCUGACCCGACUGCCGGCGAUAAACCGGAGGAAGGCGGGGAUGACGUCAAGUCAUUAUGACCCUUACGCCCAGGACUAGACACGUGCUACAAUGGUCGGUACAAUGAGCAGCGAGACCGCGAGGUGGAGCAAAUCUCAAAAAGCCGGCCCUAGUACGGAUUGCAGUCUGCAACUCGACUGCAUGAAGCUGGAAUCGCUAGUAAUCGCGUAUCAGCAUGACGCGCUGAAUACCGUUCCCGGGAAUUGUACACACCGCCCGUCAAACCAUGGGAAACGGUAGCACUCGAAGUCCCUGACCCAACUUUAUUGAGGGAGGCGCCGAAAGUGAGAUUGGUGACUGGGGUUA
rnacentral:rRNA from 1 species